GAUCCUGGCUCAGGACGAACGCUGGCGGCGCGCCUAACACAUGCAAGUCGAACGGAGUUAUUUUCUUCACUCCGAGCUUUUUGCCGGUUAGCCGGAGCGGCAAUCGGUUUUGCCCGGCAUAAAAAGCAAAACCGAUUGAGGCUCAUAAAGUAAGACUAACACAGAGGGCAGAGAGUUGGGAGUGAAGAAAAUAACUUAGUGGCGAACGGGUGAGUAACGCGUGAGUAACCUGCCCUGGAGUGGGGGACAACAGUUGGAAACGACUGCUAAUACCGCAUAAGCCCACGGCCCGGCAUCGGGCUGCGGGAAAAGGAUUUAUUCGCUUCAGGAUGGACUCGCGUCCAAUUAGCUAGUUGGUGAGGUAACGGCCCACCAAGGCGACGAUUGGUAGCCGGACUGAGAGGUUGAACGGCCACAUUGGGACUGAGACACGGCCCAGACUCCUACGGGAGGCAGCAGUGGGGGAUAUUGCACAAUGGGGGAAACCCUGAUGCAGCGACGCCGCGUGGAGGAAGAAGGUUUUCGGAUUGUAAACUCCUGUCGUUAGGGACGAUAAUGACGGUACCUAACAAGAAAGCACCGGCUAACUACGUGCCAGCAGCCGCGGUAAAACGUAGGGUGCAAGCGUUGUCCGGAAUUACUGGGUGUAAAGGGAGCGCAGGCGGACCGGCAAGUUGGAAGUGAAAACUAUGGGCUCAACCCAUAAAUUGCUUUCAAAACUGCUGGCCUUGAGUAGUGCAGAGGUAGGUGGAAUUCCCGGUGUAGCGGUGGAAUGCGUAGAUAUCGGGAGGAACACCAGUGGCGAAGGCGACCUACUGGGCACCAACUGACGCUGAGGCUCGAAAGCAUGGGUAGCAAACAGGAUUAGAUACCCUGGUAGUCCAUGCCGUAAACGAUGAUUACUAGGUGGUUGGAGGAUUGACCCCUUCAGUGCCGCAGUUAACACAAUAAGUAAUCCACCUGGGGAGUACGACCGCAAGGUUGAAACUCAAAGGAAUUGACGGGGGCCCGCACAAGCAGUGGAGUAUGUGGUUUAAUUCGAAGCAACGCGAAGAACCUUACCAGGUCUUGACAUCCGAUGCAUAGUGCAGAGAUGCAUGAAGUCCUUCGGGACAUCGAGACAGGUGGUGCAUGGUUGUCGUCAGCUCGUGUCGUGAGAUGUUGGGUUAAGUCCCGCAACGAGCGCAACCCUUAUUGCCAGUUACUACGCAAGAGGACUCUGGCGAGACUGCCGUUGACAAAACGGAGGAAGGUGGGGAUGACGUCAAAUCAUCAUGCCCUUUAUGACCUGGGCUACACACGUACUACAAUGGCGUUUAACAAAGAGAAGCAAGACCGCGAGGUGGAGCAAAACUCAAAAACAACGUCUCAGUUCAGAUUGCAGGCUGCAACUCGCCUGCAUGAAGUCGGAAUUGCUAGUAAUCGCGGAUCAGCAUGCCGCGGUGAAUACGUUCCCGGGCCUUGUACACACCGCCCGUC
rnacentral:rRNA from 1 species